AGUGAACGCUGGCGGUAGGCCUAACACAUGCAAGUCGAACGGCAGCACAGUAAGAGCUUGCCCUUACGGGUGGCGAGUGGCGGGCGGGUGAGGCAUACAUCGGAACCUACUUUUUCGCGGGGGAUAACGUAGGGAACCAUACCCUAAUACCGCAUACGACCUAUCGGUGAAAGCAGGGGAUCUUAGGUUCUUGCUCGAUUGACUGAGCCGUUGCCGGAUUAUCUAGUUGGCGGGGUAAAGGCCCACCAAGGCGACGAUCCGUAGCUGGUCUGAGAGGAUGAUCAGCCACACUGGAACUGAGACACGGUCCAGACUCCUACGGGAGGCAGCAGUGGGGAAUAUUGGACAAUGGGCGAAAGCCUGAUCGAGCAAUACCGCGUGAGUGAAGAAGGCCUUCGGUUCGUAAAGCUCUUUUGUUGGGGAAGAAAAGCAGCGGAUUAAUACCCCGCUGUUCUGACGGUACCCAAAGAAUAAGCAACGGCUAACUACGUG
rnacentral:rRNA from 1 species